UCUUCAACCUCUCUGUAAUAUUUAACUUCAGCACGACUUUACUCACAAGUCACACCAAACAUCUCCUUCGGAUGUGGAUCACUAGUCUUAGAUUCAUCGCUGUUGGGCCCAUAAUCUAGCCCGACCUUCCCUUCAUAAAGCUUCUUACCUAGCUAUCCAUCACUUCGCAAAUCACAAAGUUAUGGGGUGAGGAGCUAGCUUUCAUGGAAAAAGAAAAGUUAGUAAACAGCUGGUGGAAGUUCUCUUCAAGGCUGCAGGUUAAUUCUUUGAAGAUGCAUGUCGAAGUGCAAAGAGUACUCCUCACCAAGAACACCAUGGUUGACACUUUGAUACAAAGCCAGUUGAGGCCUAAGGAAAUGUCCGUGGAUGGAAGAUUUGCAACUUCAGGCUACAAUGACACAAGCCCUUUCGAAACAGAAAGCUGUUGGCCUUAAUUUGGUGCUAUCCUAUCUGAGCUUUAUAACCUUAAUAGUUUCUUUCUGUCCCCACCACGAUUUCUUCUUGACCUUGUAAGACCUUUUCUUAGCGUUGCAAGAUCCAACGGUUAAUUUGCUACCCUUGUAUUACUAUCACGAAGGUCUUCCUAUUUGGAGCCUACUGAUAGAAAGCUCAGCCAUUAGCAUCCCUCUUGCCACCCAACUCAUCAUCUCCUUCUCUGUCUAUCCCUCCUGAGCUAUUUCGAUCACACCGCAAGAUCACAUUUCUGGCAUCUCGAAAAUCUUGUAGGACUUUUGAACAUGCAAUGUUGCUGUUGUAUAUUUUACUUAUUUUUGUUUUGAGAAUCAAUAAUCGUAAUUGUUAUU